rnacentral:rRNA from 1 species
UAGGGAAUAUUGGACAAUGGGCGCAAGCCUGAUCCAGCCAUGCCGCGUGAGUGAUGAAGGCCUUAGGGUUGUAAAGCUCUUUCACCGGGGACGAUAAUGACGGUACCCGGAGAAGAAGCCCCGGCUAACUCCGAGCCAGCAGCCGCGGUAAUACGGAGGGGGCUAGCGUUGUUCGGAAUUACUGGGCGUAAAGCGCGCGUAGGCGGUACGGCAAGUUAGAAGCGAAAGCCCGGGGCUCAACCCCGGAAUUGCAUUUAAAACUGCUGGGCUAGAGGCCGAGAGAGGUGAGUGGAAUUCCCAGUGUAGAGGUGAAAUUCGUAGAUAUUGGGGAGAACACCAGUGGCGAAGGCGGCUCACUGGCUCGGUUCUGACGCUGAGGUGCGAAAGCGUGGGGAGCAAACAGGAUUAGAUACCCCUGUAGUCC